UGUGGUUAAAAAGCUCGUAGUUGGAUCUCGGCGGACUGAGGGCGGUUUGCUUGCUAGUAUUACUGCCCUAUAGUCCGUAGUUUUGCCAGAGGUUUCGGGGUGCUCUUAAUCGAGUGUCCCGGGAUGCUGGCAGGUUUACUUUGAAAAAAUUAGAGUGCUCAAAGCAGGCUAUUACGCCUGAAUAUUCGUGCAUGGAAUAAUAGAAUAGGAAGUCGUUUCUAUUUUGUUGGUUUUCGGAAAUCGACUUAAUGAUUAAUAGGGACAGUCGGGGGCAUUUGUAUUCAAACGACAGAGGUGAAAUUCUUGGACCGUUUGAAGACAAACUACUGCGAAAGCAUUUGCCAAGAAUGUUUUCAUUAAUCAAGAACGAAAGUUAAAGGUUCGAAGGCGAUUAGAUACCGCCCUAGUUUUAACCAUAAACGAUGCCAGCUAGCGAUCUGCGGACGUUUUUUUUGUAGACUCCGCAGGAAGCUUCCGGGAAACCAAAGCAUUUGGGUUCCAGGGGAAGUAUGGUUGCAAAGCUGAAACUUAAAGGAAUUGACGGAAGGGCACCACCAGGAGUGGAGCCUGUGGCUUAAUUUGACUCAACACGGGAAAUCUCACCAGGCCCGGACACUGGAAGGAUUGACAGAUUGAUAGCUC
rnacentral:rRNA from 1 species